UUUAUAUAUGUCCAACCCUAACACUGAUCUUCCGAAAUCCCACCUUUUCUCACCCUCAAACUCCCGCCGCCGCUCACGCUCCUUGCUGCCGUCCUUGCGCCUUCGUCGUCGCCUACCUUCUGUUUGUUGUUAAAUCCGAUAUCCGUCAACUUGCAAUUUGCUAUCAAUCCCUACCUUCACCAUUUCACAACGCCACCAGGCCCUCCAUCGCUCUCCAAACCCUAUCUUGUUCCCAUUCCGAUCGCAUCCUUUCCUCCGUCCCUCAACUGGAUUGAUCGCCCAGAAAACGGCAGCGGGAGUGGUGUUUUUAAUAUCCUUUGCUACUGGAGUCUAAGCCUCGUGCUUCCCCUGAGCGACGAUCCAAAAGAAACGGUAGCAAACUUUCUUGUGGAGUGAGAUGUUCCAGCUUGGCCGAAGAAAUGAGGAUAAGUCCAGUAUGAUUUGGUUUAUCCAUGGAACUACAGGAAGAAGGAAAAAAAACAUUCUGGUGCUUUUGCUUUUGGCAUGGGAGGUAUUGGAAAGAUAGGUUCAAUAAUUCUGUCUAUGUUAUUCACGAGAUUAAUAGAAUCGUGAAUAACCAUUAGAGAAGGGACUCCAUGAGUUAUACUAGCACUCCAGCACCGAUUAGAGAGUUAUGGUGGAGUGAAUUAAAGGUAUAUCUCAUUUGUUUUAUAUCUUAAAUGAAAGUAAAUAUAUAAAUAAUUAUUAUUUUUUCUAUUACAGUGAUCAUUCACUUGGGACAUGAGUGAUGAGAUGGAAAUAAGAAGGAUUUUCAUGAAAAAAAUGUGGUGAUCACAUUCGUCAUGUACUCAAUCAUGCGAAGUCAAAGGGGAAAAAAAUCACCAUUUAUUACUGAGGAAAACUGGAUAAGGAUUACCAAUUAUCGGGAAACUGAGGAGUUUAAAACAAGAAGUCACCACAAUAAAACAAAUCAAUCUUUUAAUUCUAGAGAUAUGUCUGCUACAUAUAUGGGAGGAUCUAUCAAUAUUGAUGAGCAUAAACGCAGAUUGAACUAGGAAAGGAGCCUACAUUUAUAGAAAUUUUUACCCGCACCUUUCAGAAAAAAGAUAAGACUUGGAGCGGGGAUAGAGCUAUAGAGCAAUCAAGGAGAAAUAUGAUGAACUAGAGAUAACACAGAGAUGUUCAGGUUUUGCUAGUGCAGAUAUGGAGGGGCCUGAGCCAUCUAUUGGUACUGAUUUAAAUUUAUGACUACAGGCGAGUGAAGAGUCAAAAAAAAAAGGAGGAAAGAUAUUUGGAAUGGGUUCUUUGAGCAGAACCCAUAGAGUUGGCCGUCUUUCUUCUUCCUCAUAGACCCAGCAGAUGAGCCACUUGACUGCAGAGGUUUCACAGUUGAAUGAGAUUUUAAAUGAAAGAGAUGAAGAAAUGAGACAAAUCCGCCUAAAUCAAGAAUUGAUUUUGCGACAUUUUAAGUUAAUUUCUGCUCCAAGUCAGAAUCCUUCCGGUGACGGUGACAAUGGUGAUCAUGAUGAUGACGAUGGUGGUGAAUCUUAGUUAAUUUAUAGAAAAGGAGAACGAAGAAUGGAAGAAGGUGCAUGAAGCUCUCGAAGUAUGACGAUUAGUAUUUUGUUUUAUGCUUUAGAUGUUUUGUUGUAUCUGUUAUUUGGAUUAUGAGUUGUUGAACCAAAUUAGUUCUUGUUUUCAUGUGUAAAUAUGAUGUUGAAUUGACAUAUUUGAAUGUAAGAUAUGGGAUGUGUAAUUUUGUUUGUUUGGAUGUGUAUAAAUAUGAUGUGUUGGAGUUUGGUUAAUAUAUUUUAAAUUUGAAUGUA